UACGGAGGGUGCAAGCGUUAUCCGGAUUCACUGGGCGUAAAGGGUGCGUAGGUGGUGGGGUAAGUCGGAUGUGAAAUCUCCGAGCUCAACUCGGAAAUGGCAUUGGAAACUACCCUGCUAGAGGGUCGGAGGGGGACUGGAAUGCUUGGUGUAGCAGUGAAAUGCGUAGAUAUCAAGCGGAACACCAGUGGCGAAGGCGAGUCCCUGGACAACUCCUGACACUGAGGCACGAAAGCUAGGGGAGCAAACAGG
rnacentral:rRNA from 1 species